rnacentral:rRNA from 1 species
GACGAACGCUGGCGGCGUGCCUAAUACAUGCAAGUCGAACGCAGUGGGGACGGGUGAGUAACACGUGGGUAACCUCCCAUCAGAGGGGAUAACACUUGGAAAAAGGUGCUAAACCGAUACUGAUGGAUGGACCCGCGGUGCAUUAGCUAGUUGGUGGGGUAACGGCUCACCAAGGCCACGAUGCAUAAGGUACCUGUGUGUUGGACCGGCAACACUGUGACGGAGACAGGGCCCAGACCCUGACGGGAGGCAGCAGUGGGGAAUCGUCGGCAAGGGCCGAAAGUCGGCCCGAGCAACGCCUCGUGAGUGAAGAAGGUUUUCGGAUCGGAAAACUCUGUUGUUAGAGAAGCGUUAUCUACCCAGAAAGCCACGGCUAACUCCGUGCCAGCAGCCGCGGUAAUAC